ACGCCAAUAGUCUAGUGGUAGGACUUCAGCCUUCCAAGCUGGAAACCCGGGUUCGAAUCCCGGUUGGCGUACCA
rnacentral:tRNA from 1 species